AUUGUGGGAGUUCCGAUUCAACCGCCAAAGCUGGACAGCCUCACCGAUAGCUGGGUGUUAUAGCAUUAUUAUGUGUUUUUUGUGCUUAUAUUUAAAUUAUUUUGAUAUAUGGAAGAAUAAUCAAGAGUCUGUACACAUGUGCUCAAGACCGUUCAUCCACGAGAGGAAGAGAACCGCGGACCACCCAAAGUGCGGGAACUGGACAUCAUGUGACGUCCAUUUCCCCGCGGUUUGUACACCGUAGUGGACAGGGGAUACUCCAGUGGACGAUGGAAAUUUAUAUCUAUACAGCGGCAGAAUAUUUUCAGAUUAUGUAGAUACUCUGAAAACUACAUAUAAGUAUUUAAAUGAAAAAAGACGGGAAGUGAGACAUCUUCAACAACUUUUAGAAACUUCAUAACAACACCUUAACAACAGCUGACAGCCCACAUACUGUACCUUAUAUCACCUAUGGAUUCUGCUAUGGUCCGACAGCCAAGAUAACAGCAUUGCAAGGGCCACGUACUUCUUAUUAUAGGAUAUAAGAGAUAUAAGGAAUGUGUAUUGUUUGCUGUUAAGAAGAGAAAGACUUUUUUUGUCUGUUGUCUGAUUUCAAAUGGUUGAAUGUCUCAUGUGCCUAGAACAUCAAAAUGUUACUGUACAAUCAAUGAUUAGCUUGCGGUAUUUUAUAUGCUCAAGUCCUGUCUGUUUAUUAUUAUUAUAUAAAUAUUAGUAUGUUGCCAUUGUCUGGUGGCAGCAUGGAUUUUUUUGCUUUUUUAUUCCCAAAGAUAAAGCCUGCUAUAAAUAAAUAUGGAUAGUGACAUCAGUGCAAUUUAAAUUCAACUGAUUAAAAAUUACCUAAUACUAGUAUCUCAUCUGCUGAGAACAUCAAGGUUAUUGUAACGUUAAUGUAAAAUUAAAAUAGUAUUUAGCUAAGGGGUACACUCCCGUCUGGAUAGAUAACUUUUGACUAGAAUAACUUGAUUUAAGAUACAUCUGUGAGAAUCUACUAUUAUGAUAUGAUAUGAUUUUUUUAAAGAUUUAAAUUAAAUGUUGAAAUUGGUGCAAGCAUUUAAUAAGUGGUUGCAUGCCUGAAAUGUGCAAUAAAUUCUUUGUUUCAUGGGAA